AAAUUGAAGAGUUUGAUCAUGGCUCAGAUUGAACGCUGGCGGCAGGCCUAACACAUGCAAGUCGAACGGUAACAGGAAGCAGCUUGCUGCUUCGCUGACGAGUGGCGGACGGGUGAGUAAUGUCUGGGAAACUGCCUGAUGGAGGGGGAUAACUACUGGAAACGGUGGCUAAUACCGCAUAACGUCGCAAGACCAAAGAGGGGGACCUUCGGGCCUCUUGCCAUCAGAUGUGCCCAGAUGGGAUUAGCUAGUUGGUGAGGUAACGGCUCACCAAGGCGACGAUCCCUAGCUGGUCUGAGAGGAUGACCAGCCACACUGGAACUGAGACACGGUCCAGACUCCUACGGGAGGCAGCAGUGGGGAAUAUUGCACAAUGGGCGCAAGCCUGAUGCAGCCAUGCCGCGUGUAUGAAGAAGGCC
rnacentral:rRNA from 1 species